GCUCAGUUGGUAAAAGCACAAGGCUCUUAACCUUGUGGACGUGGAUUCAAGUCCCAU
rfam:Triticum aestivum genome assembly, contig: Triticum_aestivum_CS42_TGACv1_scaffold_041468_1BL